rnacentral:lncRNA from 1 species
GACCAAAAAGAAGCAUUUUCUAGUUUACAGACAAUAACUUGUGUUUAAGUGAAUGGAUCUCUCUGAAAUUAUACUACAAGGUUUCUUACUACAAAGGAAAGGCUGGAAUUGAGUUUUGGGGUUCUUGCUCCAAGGGGGGUUUCAAUAAGUGAGGGGCCAAAAAAGGGGCCCAAAUCAGCAUUUUUGUAGUUUUCAGUCAAAAA